GGGGGGUGUUCUUUGAGCCGGAAUGGUGUGGAUUUAGUCCAUCCUAGAUGAGGCCAUCUCUUGUCCCAGGCUGCAGGCGCCAGGUCAGCAAGACUCCUGCCCCGUAAGGGCAGAAGAAAGAACUUCACACGUCUCCGUCAGCUGAAUGGCUCAGUCUUCCUAGGCUGCUAUUUCUCUAGAUGAAAACACAGAUACACCAAAUGUUGUCUGCGAAUACACCUGGGGAAACAACCGUUCUGUGCUGUUUAAGAAAAAAAAACCAAACCAAACCCAAACGAGUCACCACGCCAAAGAAACACCCCGCAAAUGACAUCCGUGAGGUACAAAUAGAGGCAUCGCUAGCAAAGGCUCAUGCAGAAGCUUACCUUGAGACCUUAGAAGCUUCUUCCAAAAUUGUACCCUCCUUAAUGAGUGAUGAGGGAUGGGUUUUGGAUGGAGAAGAGACGCAAUGAUCUAGCCAGUAGAUGGAGGUUGUUCCUUGUUCCUAGCAGAGGAUCCCUAUGUUAAUUAAAAUAAACAAGCUGCUUGGUGGAAAGAUUCCCCCCCCCCCCCCCCCCAUAGUCUCUAAUAUAGAAUUGACGUGGAUUUCUAACCUCUGACCUCUCCCAUGCACUUAUACCUGCCUUUUAUUUUCUGUUUGUUUCGAAAUCUUUUCCCAAACCCAAAUAGAUAAAUAAAGAAGAAGAAUGAAUGAAAGCAAAAAUUAA